CGGGGAUUAGCUCAGUUGGUAGAGCGCACGGUUCGGGAUCGUGAGGCCGUGAGUUCAAAUCUCACAUCCCCGA
rnacentral:tRNA from 1 species